UUAGUUAUUCCAGGUAUAGUACUCAGGUUUAUUUAUCCAGGUAUAGUACCCAGGUUUAGUUUAUCCUGGUAUAGUACCCAGGUUUAGUUUAUCCAGGUAUAGUACCCAGGUUUAGUUUAUCCAGGUAUAGUACCCAGUCUUAGUUUAUCCAGGUAUAGUACACAGGCUUAGUUUAUCCAGGUAUAGUACCCAGGUUUAGUUUAUCCAGUAUAGUACCCAGGUUUAGUUUAUCCAGGUAUAUUACCUAGGUUUAGUUUAUCCAGGUAUAGUACCCAGGUAUAGUUUAUCCAGGUAUAGUACCCAGGUUUAGUUUAUCCAGGUUUAUUACCCAGGUUUAGUUUAUCCGGGUAUAGUACCCAGGUUUAGUUUAUCCAGGGUAUAUUACCCAGGUUUAGUUUAUCCAGUUUUAUUUAAAAAAUUUAGUUUGAGUUUAUACCAACGAUAAGAGGUAAAAACAAACAAAAGAUCCCCUGAAGGCUAGUCUCAUAAACAGGGACAGAAUUCUCAUGUUGGUAUUUUUCUAUUUUAAACAUUUCAUUUUUUUUUGUAUGAAUAGAAGUUUGUCUACAAGGAAUAUGUGUGUCAAUACAAAUCUAUGCAUCUAAUAAUGUUAAAUUCUUUAUUUAGAUACAGCUAAAGAAUCGUGCACAGGAAGAUAACCACCAUGAGCUUGACAAUAUUAAUGAUAAUUAUGGUGAUGACCUCUUUGGUAGUGUGUUUCAUUUAUUUCUUUUUUUUAGGGUCAUUUUAGAGCAAAUUAGACAAUUUUUCAUAAUAUUUAAGUACCCAAUUUUUCAAUUAAAAUAAUUAUUAU